rnacentral:lncRNA from 1 species
AGUGCAUCCUUUGAGGAGGGAAUAGCGGCUCCCUACUUUGAAUUAGAAGCUUUAUUGAGGGACAAUCCACAAGUAAAAUGGAUUCAAGAGACAGCUGGACACCCAUGCUUGAGACUCAGUCUCUCCAUUCCGGAGCCUGAAGUGGUGUGAACUCAAAGCCAACAGCAUCAUCUGGAAGCUUGUUUGAAAUGCAGAUUCUUGGGCCUCGCUCAAGACCUACUGAAUCAGAAACUCUGGAGGUGAGUUUCAGCAAUCUGUGUUUUAGUAAGCCUUCCAGUUAAUUCUGAUGAACCACCGACCAACAGUAUUCACUAGUAAUUCUAGUUUUAGUUUUAGUCCAUAUAAUGGAGUGACAAGUUUACCACCUAAAAUGUAGCCAUCCUCAAAGAUGGUCCCCAAAUGAUUCCUCCCUCCUGAUAGUCACACCCUGUGUAGUCCCCUCCCACCCUACAUUCGGGCUGGUUUGUAUGGCCACUGAAGUAAUGCAGAAGUGAUAUGUCACUUUCAAUGCUAUAUUAUAAGACAAGGCUUAUGUCCUGCUCUCUCUUGGGUCACAUGUUCUGGCGGAAGCCAGCUGCCAUGUCAUGAGGACACUCAGGCAUUGCCAUGGAGAAGCCCAAGUGACAAGGAACUGAGGCUUCCUGCCAACUGCCAGUGAUGACCUGAGGCUGCAGUCAAGAGCUAUGUGUGGGACCACCUCUUGGAUGUGGAUCCUCCAGCCCAAGCCAGGCCUUCAGAUGACUGCAGACCUGGUUGACAGCUUGACUGUAACCUCACGAGAAGCCCUGAGCCAGAACCACCCAGCUGUGGAGCUCCUGGAUUCCUGACCCUCAGCAACUGUUCGAGAUAAUAAAUGUUUGCUGUUCUAAGCUGCUAAA